rnacentral:tRNA from 1 species
GCUAGAAUGCCAGAGAGGUUAAGGGGGAAGACUUAAUAUCUUCUGACGAAAGUCGCGUGGGUUCGAGCCCCUCUUUUAGUA